rnacentral:lncRNA from 1 species
AAACCCUUAUUUUUAUACAUCCGCUAUCAUAAUACAUAAAGUCUUGCUUGAGAAUGCUUCGAGCACCUAGCUGUGGAAGGUAGAAUAGAAAUUGCAACAACAAACUUUUAAUUCUAAUAAAACACUAACAAUGCUAAAUAAGCUUUAAUCAAAUUUAGAGAUACCUCAAAGGAAUUCUAAAGAAAUAGUAAGAAAUCUUAAAGAAAUAUUAGAAUGAUUACAAACAUAUUUCAAAUAUAUCUCAAUUCAAUCUUAAUAUAAUCAUAGUUGAAAUCUUACUUCAUUCAAAUUUAAGGCCAAAAACUAACUAAAUCUUAAAUCCUAAACAAAUUUAAAUAAAAUCCUAAAUCCUAAAUCAAAUCCUGAUCAAAUACUAAUCAAAUCUUAAACCCUAAAUCAAACCCCAAAUCCUAAAUCAAAUCCUAAAUUAUAAAUCAAAUCCUAAUCAAACCUUGAACUCAAAAUCAAAUCCUAAUCCUAAAUCAAAUCCUAAUCAAAUUCUAAUCUCAAAUCAAAUCCUAAAUCUUAAACCAAAUCCUAAUCUUAAUUCAAACCUUAACCAAAUUCUAACCAAAUCCUAACCCUAAAUCAAACCUUAAUCAAAUUCUAAUCAAAUCUUAAUCCUAAAUCAAACCCUAACUAAACUCUAAAUCCUAAACCAAACCCUAACUAAAUCCUAAUCAAAUCCUAACUCUAAAUCAAAUCCUAACCAAAUCCUAACCCUAAAUCAAAUCUUAACCAAAUUCUAAUUCUCAUCCUAAAUCCUAAAUCAAACACUAACCUAAUGCUAACCCUAAAUCAAACCCUAACCAAAUCCUAAUCUUAAAUCAAAUCCUAAUCAAACCCUAGUAAUUUCUACAACAAAAUUAAACCUCAAUAACUAAUGAAUGAACUGUUGAUCUUAACUCAAAU